rnacentral:rRNA from 1 species
UACGUAUGGUGCAAGCGUUAUCCGGAUUUACUGGGUGUAAAGGGAGCGCAGGCGGCACGGCAAGCCUGAUGUGAAAGCCCGCGGCCCAACCGCGGGACUGCAUUGGGAACUACCGGGCUGGAGUGCCGGAGGGGUAGGCGGAAUUCCUAGUGUAGCGGUGAAAUGCGUAGAUAUUAGGAGGAACACCAGUGGCGAAGGCGGCCUACUGGACGGUGACUGACGCUGAGGCUCGAAAGCGUGGGGAGCAAACAGG